AUGGAUGUUCCCUCUAUGGAAGCGUUAGCACUAUUGGAAGGACUGCGUUUGGCAGAGCAUCUGGGUAUUUAUGCUCUGGUGGUGGAGUCCGACUCACAGGAGAUAGUUCAAGCAAUGACAGAUCCUUCGGAGUACCGAGCCUCGGCUGCGGUGGUAACGGAUGAUUGCCGACAGGUGUUGAGUUCUUUCGGCAGGGCGACGACUGUACACUGUGCUAGGGAGAGUAAUGGGGUUGCGCAUUGGCUAGCAAGGACUAGUUAUAGAAGGCAGUUAAAUGAGGUCUGGCAAGAGCAUCCCCCUGAUUUCUUAAUUCCCUCCCUUGUAUCUGAUAUGAUUAUUGUGUAA
rnacentral:rRNA from 1 species